rnacentral:rRNA from 1 species
UACGUAGGGUGCAAGCGUUAAUCGGAAUUACUGGGCGUAAAGCGUGCGCAGGCGGUGAUGUAAGACAGAUGUGAAAUCCCCGGGCUCAACCUGGGAACUGCAUUUGUGACUGCAUCGCUGGAGUGCGGCAGAGGGGGAUGGAAUUCCGCGCGUAGCAGUGAAAUGCGUAGAUAUGCGGAGGAACACCGAUGGCGAAGGCAAUCCCCUGGGCCUGCACUGACGCUCAUGCACGAAAGCGUGGGGAGCAAACAGG